CCUGUAUGUGCUACUAUCUUGUCAAAUUCGUGCUAAGCUUUCCAGUGCUAUAAACAAGACCUGAAAACAUGGAUCUUGCUUAAUGGUGCUGAAUCUGUUUGGGCAAGCUUUUGCCUUGUUUGAUGCUGAUGAAUCUAUUUUGAUCAUAUGCAGGGACUUGUCUUACAACAACUUGAGCGGUCCACUUCCACCGAACAUUGGAUCCUUGAGUAACCUUGAAAGCCUGUAAGCACAAAAUUAAAUGUUUAUGUUAGCUCAUUGUUGGUUGAUUAAUUCAUAACAAAGUCUGAAGCUGGAUUAUUCAAAAGUCAUAAACUGAUCAUUUGAUUAGAACAAAGAUUCCAUAUCAUGAUUUUAAUAUAAUAUCAAUUUUAAUUUCAUUAAUGAAUCGCUUCUCUCACUUUCUCUUGUGCAUGACAGGAGCGUUGUUGGCUGCCAAUUUUCUGGUGACAUACCAAAAGAACUCAGCCAACUCCCAAAGCUGCGGUUCCUGUAAAGAUCUCAAUGACUUGGAAAAUAUUGUUAAUGAUCUCAUAUACCUGCGUCAUUUUUUUUAUGUUAAUAAGAAGUUGUGACGGUAAAAAGUUGUGACGGUAAAUGAAGACAGUAGUUUAGACUUAGUUGAAAUUUCAAUUUGAAAACCCUUCUUUUUUCACAUUGACUUAUUUGUUAGCUCGAAACCAUUUCCAUUUCAUUCCAGGUAAAACAGAAAAUAGUUUUUAUCUGUUUUGGGGGAUAUAACAAACAAAAGGAAAUGCUAACUGAGUAUCAACUUUGUAUUAUUUCUUAUAGUAUCAUGGUAUAAGAGUUGAUGGAUUGUAUUGCUGCAGGUCCUUGAACAACAACAGGUUUACUGGAAGUAUACCUCCAUCAAUUGGCAACCUUUCAAAUAUGUACUGGCUUGACUUGGGUGAAAAUCGUCUGACUGGAUCACUUCCAGUAUCUGAUGGAACCAAUACUGG
rnacentral:lncRNA from 1 species